GGUGUUGGGGCAUGGGAUUUGGGAGGGUGGGUGGGGGGAUGACUCCGAAUCCCUGUUGUAAAUGAGGCUGCACCACUGAGCGAUGAGUUGGAAAGUGGGGAAGUAGAUGUUGGGAGUCUUUCUUACAUAUAACCGUGGACAUGGUGUAUAAAGGGGAAGUAUAUAUCAAUAUAUUUCUUAUGUUCUGCACAAUAAUAGUUGUACUUUCCACUCUUUUACGUUACGUGUAAUUGCAUAAUUCAUCCUAUAUGUGUUUCUGCCGAAGCUUGGGGUGUCUCUUCUCUGGGGACACCCUCUUAAGUUGGAAAGCCGUGUCUUGCCAUGGCUCACAUGCUGCGCUGUCCUCUUGAGGCUGCUGUAGACUGUGUAGAGCCACUUUUAUUUUUUAAUCUGUAAAGAGCCAUCUCUUACCAGUGAGCUCAAUGAUGAUCUGUCUUGGCCUCCGGCAGUCUCCCAACGAGAGACUACUUGUGGGAUAAGGAGAGUUCUGGUUUGUGGUCCCUGCUGUUGUUGAGAUCACUGGCAAGAUGUGACUUCACAGGUAUGCUAAAUAUAUAGAAUAUACUUCACCUUUAUACAAUGCAAUGUGUAAGUGAUGAGAGCACGGUCUGCGGUCUGUUGAGUGAUGUCACCAGUAAUCACAGAUUCCGGGGGAGCACUUAUUGUGAUCUACGUUACAUGGUUUCUUAUAAGCCGGAUCUGAUGUAGAAAGACAGAACCGCCUGACCUGCCUUUACGCACAUUGCCAUGUCUGAUGUAGAACCAGAAAGGGGUCAGGAACGCUGUGCACUUGGACCAUGUCAGACAGAUGGUGAAUGGUCUGUGGAGGCCUCUCAUGGUCGCUCCUACUUUUCAUGCUGCUGACCUGCGUUUCAUGGAGUAAGUCAUGUCCUGUAGAGCUGGGGUGACGCGUAUAGUUAUCCUGUAUCUUCCACAAUGCAUGUGCAUGAACUGGUAUGCCUCCAUUGUCUCACUUGCAAAUGUAUGGGGCACAAGAAAGAUGGAGGACAGUGCGAGCUCAAUGCUAUUCCCACGGUCCUGAUGGAACCACCCAAUACUCAGUGCCACUCAAGAUGCAUUGUGUGCCAGUCCCUGGUAACAACCUUAAUUAGUAGUAUUGCAUACAUACCUGUAAUUUUUGUCAUAAGAAUAAUUUAAAAUGUGGAGCAGGGGGGGAGUUUUUCUCCCCCUUGUGGAUGUGACUUGUGAAUAUCACUGUCAUGUCUGCCUUGGAGCUGUUGACACCUCUUUAUAUGCAAUGUGGUUCAAUCGAGACUCUGUACCCUCUUCUCUCGUGCCUCCUUCCCUGCCAGCCCCUCAUUUUCUUAGUGCCCCCAUCACCUAUACUGCGAGCUAGCAAGUUUGCAGGCUGUGCCAGUGCUUGUGACUAUGCGGAGCGCCUCCCUGACCUCACCAGUUCCUGGUGAAUACGGUAUGCCGACGAUACGGCACAGCCUGCAAACUGGCUGACUCCGGCCGGUAUAGGUGAUAGUGGGGGGGCACUAUAAGACAUUAAGCUCCACUAUGCCUGUACCAAAAGCAGCCUUUAUGCCUCAAAUUCUUGUACCGUUCAUUUCGGCACGUUCCCUGACGCCCCCCCUGUAAGAUCUUAUAUAUAUGUAUAUGUAUGCACAAGGCUAUCUGGUUUAUUUGUACGCAACCCUUUAACUGCCAGCAGAGCAUUGCAGAAUUGGUUUGAUCAUGCAAAGCACCAAUGCCUCUGGUAAUGAAAGGGGAUUUGCUCCUUCCCCACUUUCGUUUUGUCAACUCUGUUUCUGCUGUGCUCCAGCUGUGAAAAGGUUGAUCGCAGUGUUACAUGAAACUGUUAGUUUUUUGUUUUAUAUCGCCCUUCAGAUAUGUACAUUUUUGUUUUUCCUUUAAACCCAGAUUGCUGCUUUUUUUUUUUUUUUUUUUUUGUAUUUUUCUUUAUUUUGUUUCCUUUUUUUUUUUUUUUUUUUUGCACUGUGUGGAGGGUCCAAGUGGGCAAAAGGGAGGUUUAUAGAUGCGUAGUAGACCUCACUUUGUUUUUUACCCGUUACUCUCUGGCUUCAGGGUUUUACUGGUUAAGGUGGUCCUCCCUCCCCCCCUCAUAAAUUAAUUUUCCUUCCUUCCCUCUUAAGAGGCCACUGGCCACAAUUUUAAUAAAGGUUAGUAAAAGGUGUCCUCGGCCCCAUUCCAUGACUAAGAUUGGUCUGUCCCCAUGUUUUUACUGUAGCUUUGCUAUGUUGUUGGACCACCGGCAGUAGUAAGUGAUGUUAGAAGUAUGGGUACAUGUGCUUAUUUGUAAAGUAACACAAUGAGAAGAUGCAUUGUACAUUCCUCACUCCAGUCUCUGGGAUACUUGUGGCAGGAGAAUUAGUGUUUUAUAAUUUUAGAGAUUUGUGAAUACGCCCUCUUGUUUUCAGCAUCGCUGCACCCGCUGUGGUUUGUUCCAAACCGCCGAGUAUCUCCGCGCAGUGAGUAAGGGGGUCGGUGUCUUAAAUGUCCGCAUCUUAAAGAGCGACCCUCCAAAACGUUUCUGCUGCCAAAGCAGCUUUUGGUUUUAUUGCACAGACUAAGAAGGUGGAAGGGGGUCCAGAUCCAUAAGUAGAAGGCGGUGACCUGCAGCUAGUUCCUCUCACAAUCCUACCUCCUCCCCUGGCCCUGUCUGGUUUAGUCCUUUGUUUAGUCCUUUUUAAUAACACCCACACACUACAGAGGGUGACAGGGGGCUCUCCCUUUUCCCCACUCCUCCAUCGCAGUGCUGUUUUUUUGUUGUUGGGUUUUUUUUUUUUUAUAUUCUUACUAGUCUUAUUUAAGCCAACAGCCAAAAAAACAAAAAAAAAUAAAUAAAUUUUUUUGCUGGAAUGUAAUAAAUUGUCAAAGUAUGAACAGAAUCCUGGCUGUGACGUUUUCAUGUGCAAUUUGUUUGAGGCUGUUGUGUAGGUUUGGAUGCUGACGGAACAGAUGCCCUGUGGUUUAUUCUGUGCUCACUGGCUGACACCUCGGCAAAUGUGUCACGUCCGUGAACGUGCUCUGAAGCAUUCCAACACCGAUAGCCUGGGUAACUGGAUGUUACUCGGAACAGCAACGGACACCUUGAGCAGUUUGCAGGGACCACAUGGUAGUUAAUUCGGGUUUUAUGAGGCGAGAAUAGCCAAAUGUGUCCCUUUUAAUCGGUUUGUAUAAAGCUAUUUUGAUGUUUGUCAAUAUGUCUUGUCUAUUCUCUCCAAGUCUGCAGCUUCUGGUCAGGAAAAGGUUCUAGUGGGGGAACGUUGCUACAUGUCCUUGGAGCACAGACACAAUUAAUGGCUGACAGACACCAAGGACGAUUGGUCUAAAUUAUUCAUCGGUUUUAUAAAUUCUAGCUUCUUCAGGCUUACCUGUGACUUUGUAGCUUCCUGAUGUAUCGGACGCCCUGACUCCAACCUAAACCGCUUAUCUUGUGGACAGUGGUUGAAGAUCUGCCUACCAUUUUGUGUUGCUCUUCAUGUGGCUGCCAAAUGACCAACUGAAGGAGGAACAAGAAUUCUGUGAAGUUUAGAUGCAGGACCAUUUCAUGAGGAAUCCUGGAGGCCAAGUAGAAUGGGUGUAGAGAAGAACACAGGUUGAGGAGCAAACACUAUCCCUUGACAAGGAACCAGGGAGGAUUGCAAAUCCUAAUGCAUGGUGAAUCCAGAGGCAUAUACAGCAGACAAGUGGUCAGGACUGUUUCUUGUUUUCAUGUGAAAAACAGGAGCAGAUAGUUUGCAGAAAUGUAUAGAAGGAUAUGCCCACCUUGUCCAGAAUGUAUAGGCAAGUCGAGGAACCGAGAUCCAGGGAAUUGCAUGGUCAGUACCAAGGUGGGACAUCGGGAUUCGAUUAUUGUCGGAGAGGCCAGAAAUUAAUGUAGUCGUCACUGGUAGAAGGAGCAUACAUGCCGCCAUAGAUGUUGCUUCCAGGGAUCAGAGAUGGUGGUUUCCCUAACAAUGCUCACACUGCAAGAGAUCCUGACCUGAUCAAUGUGGGACAGUUAUUGGACACUAACAAGCUCCAGUGAUGCUGCACAGCCAGAGGGAAGAGCGGCAGGAUCAUGUCUGGUUUCUCUACUUGCAAAUGUUUGGAUAACCUUGGCACUUCGGGAAAGCAACAGCACGGACUGUUAUGACUAUCUGUGUGUAGAUAUCUGUCAGUAACCAGAGGUAUGCAGUUACACUUGAUUGGAGAUUAUAGAACAAUGUAUGAAAGACGAAUGAUUAGGGAGGAGAGGAGUGCUAGGUUAUUACUAAUUAAAGACUCAUUAACCUCACAAA